UACGUAGGGCGCAAGCGUUAUCCGGAAUUAUUGGGCGUAAAGAGCUCGUAGGCGGUUUGUCGCGUCUGCCGUGAAAGUCCGGGGCUCAACUCCGGAUCUGCGGUGGGUACGGGGCAGACUAGAGUGAUGUAGGGGAGACUGGAAUUCCUGGUGUAGCGGUGGAAUGCGCAGAUAUCAGGAGGAACACCGAUGGCGAAGGCAGAUCUCUGGGCCGUAACUGACGCUGAGGAGCGAAAGCGUGGGGAGCGAACAGG
rnacentral:rRNA from 1 species